UUGAGAGAGAAAGACUUGAGCUCGGAAGAAAAUUUCUUUUCUUUUGGAGUGAACAGUUUUUCUCCAGAAUGCACCUAUUUAUAGAACAAGGUGAGCAGAUCUCCACCGUUGGAUGAACGAUCUCAGAAUUUGAAUCCACGCGUUGGAUUAAAGUCGCCCCGAAAACCGGAAAAGCUGUUGGCGCGUGUUGAGCGUGUAAGGGGACCGAGGGAAUCUCGAGGCGCUGUGGCAGACAGCUGUAGCCGAAAGCAGAUUUGACUUUCCGUAAAUCACGGAAGAGACGUGUCGUGGCACGUGGAGUGUACCGACAGUUUGUGUUUAUUCUAUUGCUUUUGAUAGAAUAAAUAAAAGAAUUGUGAGGACAACAGCGAGAGCAGCUGGUGCUCUAGUGGUUGAAGAGCAAAGCUCUUGUACAAGAGGUCAGAGGUUCGAACCUUGCCUCUCGUUUAUUUUUAUUAUGUUCGCUUAUGACAUAAUAAGUAAAACAUUUGUACACAUUAUAUUAAGCACAGCUUGUGCUCCAGUGGUUGGUGGGCAAAGCCCUUGUGCAGCAGGUUAAGGUUUCGAACCUUGCCUCCCCCGUUAUUUUAUUUAUGUCACUUAUGACAUAAUAAAUAUAACACGUGAGCAUAUAUUAAUGAAGGCAGCUCUUGCUUCAGUGGUUGGGAGCAAAACCUUCGUGUUCGAGGUCGGGAGUUCGAACCUUACCUCUUACAAAUAUUUUUGGAUCUCGUAUAUGCUUGAUAUACGGACGUAUAUACGGUAUGUACGGUAUACAUACGUAUAUACGGUCUGUAUGGUAUGCAUACGUAUAUACAGUUGUACGGUAUGCAUACGUAUAUACGGUCUGUACGGUAUGUAUACGUAUAUACGGUAUGUACAAUUUCAUACCGUAGCCGAGCUGGAAGUUGGUGGGCCGAUUGGUAGGCCCAAAUAGUAAGCCCAAUUGUUCGGCCCGAUUGGUAGGCCCAAAUGGUAGGCCCAAAUGUUAAGCCCAAUCGUUCGGCCCGAAUAGUAGGCCCAAAUGUUAAACCCAAAGUGGUUUGGGCCGGUUCGAAAUGUGGAUGGUCCGAUUUCUUCAGGCCCAAUUGGCCAGCCCUAAUGCUUAGCCAAGGAUUGAGCAAGCCCAAGUCAUCAUCACUGGGUGUCAGAUUUUAUUGGCAUGCUUUUGGGGAUGAUUUGUUUUGAGUGAUGCAUCUCUAUUGUUGUGUAGAAUAGUGCAUGCUUAAGUUUUACUAUAGAGAUUUACCGUGAUGCUAAUUGAGUAGCGAAACGCUUUGUGAGAAUGUUUACUGUGCUUGUAUGCCAGUACAGGAUGAUGAUCUAUGUGAAUAUCUAUGUGAAGAUCUAUGUGAUGAUCUAUGAGAUGAUCUAUGUGAAUAUCUAUGUGAAGAUCUAUGUGAUGAUCUAUGAGAUGAUCUAUGUGAGGAUCCAUGUGGUGAUUUUGUGUGAGUUUACUUUUGUGAUGAAAGGAUUUAGUGGCCUUAGGAAUGUAUUUUUAUACAAAGGGCUGUGGCUUUGUAGAUUACUACAGCUUUGGAAAGGAUGGAGAUUCGAUGGUUAGGUUAACCGUAAUCGAGAGCAAUUAACUUGCGCUUAAAUUUCGGGACGAAAUUUCUUUAAGGAGGGUGGAUUGUAAUACCCGAAAAAUUCAAGUUAAUUUCCGAUGACGUUUUGGAAAUGAUUUCGUGGUCGUGGACACGAGUACGAAGCUUAGAGGAGUGUGGAAUUAGUUCGAACGAUUUUAUUUCGAAAACUGAACGUUUUAGGGGAGGUCAAAGGUGUUGACUUUUUAUACAUUGGGAAUUUGGGAAAACUUCCUUCAUGAAAGUUGUAGAGCUCGUCGAUACGAUCUCGUGCAUAUGUGGAACGCAAAAAUCGGAGUUCGUAUGAGAAAGUUAUGAUCAAUUGAAAUUUGGGGAAAUUUCUAUAAAUAGCAAAAAAAUCCCGAAAAUUUCCAUUUCUGCAGAUUUUUCUCUCCCGAGCCCAGAUUUCGGCCUCUCUCUUCCACCGGCCAUAUCUCCCUCCACAGACCUCCGAUCGACUUGAUUUCAAAAGCAUUUUCAUUCGCCUUGAAGUCAGUUAAAACUUCCUAGAAGACAUAAAAGUGAGAAAAGAACCAUGGAAGGCGCUAGGAGGCCGAGAAGCUGCACAGCUCGAGCUGGAAUUCGCCCGAUGCUGCUCUUCCUUCACCGGCCGAUAUCUCUCUCAUCCGACCUCGAAUCGAGUUGAUUCCAAAAGGGAUUUUGUUGGGCUUGAGCUAUAUUACAACUUUGUAGAAGACAUCGAGGGGAAAUAACCAACGUGGUAGCCGCUACAAGUCGAAGAACACGGUGCAGUCGAGCUGGAAAUCGUCUUCCUUCGCCACCUUGGUUCUCCCAGCUCCGGCCACUAUAGCUCGAGUUCUUUGAGGGCUUUUCUAGCCCAGAGGAAGUAGAAGCUAUCCCCAAGAAGGCUUGCAGCGAUUUGAUCCGGGGUGAUCGAAUUUUGGAGUUUUGAAACUAGGGUUCAUCGGAUCCGUCGACUUCCAAGGUGAUUGACGGUCUCCCUUGGGUGAAAGAUUUCGGUGUGUAUUGUGUUGAAUUGAAGACGCAGCGGGAAUAUCGAGCGGGUAAUCCUACAGGACAGGAGAACCAGGACGGUGAUCGUGCGGUUAGAGCAAUUGUUAGAGUUUUACAACAAUUGUAAGUUGUGAGGUGUGUUAUGCUCAUUUGAGCUUUAUAAUAUAUUGUGAGAGUGAAUUGUAAUAAUGAACUCGAAGUUUCGAGAUUUGGUUUUUUUGUAAUUGUAAUUAUUCAGGUUUCGGAUUUGAA